rnacentral:sRNA from 12 species
UAAGCCCUGCAUGUUGCGAAGUCUCUGGUUCCACCUGGGAUACGAAAUCCAAAGAAAUUUCAUAGCAACUGCGGGGCUUC